UUCCCCGGGGCAGAGGUCCUUUCAUGGACAGAGGCAGCCAUGUGCACCGAGGCUAUGGGAUUAGGCAUGUGUUUGGGUUCCCAGUCAAGUUGGGGCUCAGAAAGACUUCCACAACUCAUUUUCACACGAGGACCAUUGUGGGAGGAAAGUGGAAAUCUGCUGGGCUUUCUGGAGCUAUUUUACACACUGUCACUUAUUUGUGAUUGAUUGAGGGGGGACCUUGCCGUUCUCUAGGCUCUGGGCAGCCACCACUUCUUUGCUUUUCCCCGGCAGGGGGCGCUGUGGAGCAGAGGGCAGGGAACUUACCCACAGGCAGCUGAGGCGGUCCCAGGCCACGCGCAGGUUCCACCGCGCUCGCCGGGCCCUCGCUGCCCAGCCCUGGCUGGAACGUGGCAGCCACAGACCUAGGAACGCACGCCUUUGUGAAUGCACAGACAGGGGCGGCGGUCUCCAGGAGGGGACUGGGCGACGUUCUCCUCUGCGACCCGAGACCCCUGGCAGGCCGGCCUUGCUCAGGAGACUCAGCCCAAGGCCCAGAAGAGUCGAUUUCUCCAUUCAUCUUCGACACUCACUGCCAUCCCAUCCUUCUUGCCAAUGAUUGCAUCAAAGAUAGUCAAGGCCCAUGGCCAGGUGGUAAAAAGCCGCUGUCCGAAACUGUGAAAAUGGUCCCCAGACACAGGCACAGGCAGGGAGGUUGGCUGCAUGCCCCUGGAAGGCAGGAGACUCUCUGAGCCUCAAUUUCUUGAGUCCACAAGCACCAAACGGAAAACUUUACAGCCCAAGUGGAUACUGUGGUCCUGUCUUCACAGGCUCCCUGGCCUUCUGGCUUCCUGUCGGGUUUGGCCAAUGGCAGGGGCCAGCAGGGGACUUGCAGGGCGAGAGGUAGGACAGGUGACCCUGAAUCAGAGCUAUGGGGACUCUGUCCCGGGAGGGAAGCCAGCGUUCAUUUCAGUUUGGCACCAGCAGCUGCACCCAUGCUGCAUCUUUGUGCAGAAGCCAACAGCCAGCCCUCCCCUGGCUCUGCGCCACUGCCGGCCUCUCGCUGCCACCCCAGCUCAAGGAGCCCCUGCCAAGGACUACGGGGUGCUGGGGACACCAGGUCACCCGUCCAGAGGUGGCAGCAGAGCCCCUGCUCUGGGUCUUUUCUGUCCUCACUGUGCGCUCGGCUGCACGAAGAGAAGGUUGUCUCUGUCCAGCUCCUCUUCAAGGGGACCAAAGCUUCAGGGUGCCCGGCCUCAAUGCCGUCACUGCCCUGACUGGCUCCAUGCCACGUUCACCGGCGCCUGCAGCGUCUCUGGUACCAGCACAGAAUCAGGCACUGCCUCCAGGUCCCCAGGAGUUCGACUUCCUCCCAGUCUCUUCCAGGGACCCCGUGCCAGUGUCUGUCUGGGACCCCAAGCAGGAGCCCAGCACCUUUCUUCUGAGGCAGGACAAACUCCCAGCUCCCUCUGGGCCCAGCCUGAGGCCGAGCUGGAUCUGCAGCUUGCUCAGCUUCUUCCUUUCCCUCUCUGUGGGACUGUUUUCUGAAUAAAUCACUUAUAUCUGGCCCCUUGGUUUAGGUGGUCUUCUAGGGCUUUCAAGAAAGCUCUUUUAAAAAAAGACUGACUCAGCCAGGCAUGGUGGUGCACACCUGUAAUCCCAGCACUCAAGAGGCUGAGGGAGGA
ensembl:lncRNA